rnacentral:rRNA from 1 species
GACGAACGCUGGCGGUGUGCUUAACACAUGCAAGUCGAACGGUAAGGCCCUUUCGGGGGUACACGAGUGGCGCACGGGUGAGUAACACGUGAGUAACCUGCCCUCAUCUCUGGGAUAACAGUCGGAAACGGUUGCUAAUACUGGAUAUGAGCUUGCAAGGCAUCUUGUGGGUUGGAAAGAUUUUUUUGGUUGGGGAUGGACUCGCGGCCUAUCAGCUUGUUGGUGAGGUAGUGGCUCACCAAGGCUUCGACGGGUAGCCGGCCUGAGAGGGCGACCGGCCACAUUGGGACUGAGAUACGGCCCAAACGCCUACGGGAGGCAGCAGUGGGGAAUAUUGCACAAUGGACGGAAGUCUGAUGCAGCAACGCCGCGGGCGGGAUGACGGCCUUCGGGUUGGAAACCGCUUUCAAUUGUGACGAAGCUUUUUGUGACGGUAGCAGUAGAAGAAGCACCGGCUAACUACGUG